CGAUGGCUCAGUCAUUAGAGCAUGAUGUUCUUCAUCUCAAGGUCGUGGGUUCGAACCCCACGUUGGGUGAAAGA